rnacentral:lncRNA from 1 species
AAAAUUUUUUCUUUUUGUGAGAGAAUAUCAUGAAAAAAGCAGGAGUCCCUCUAUUGAUUGACUGAGAGAAAUAUUUUGAAGAUAAGAUCCUGAAUGGAAAACAUGCAUAAGAAGAGGAAUGCUUUUGAGUUCACGUUGGAGAAGAGAAAACGAAGAGCUCAUGUUUCAUUUAUGCAUUGAUCUCUGCUGUUGCUGAGAAUGCAAUAGAAGGAGAAGGAACCUGUUGUUCAUUUAAUAAUCCUUCUGUAUCAGAAAGAGCUCCAGUGCUUCAAAAAUACCUGGAUAGUAAAGAAGACUUGGAACUUCAAGCUCUCUUUGGUCUCCAAGCUCUUCUCAGUAGGCUGGAAAACCCGAAAGGUUUGUUCAUUUGUAAGAGUUACAAACGUGUAGUGAUCUUUUAAAAUGUUUUCAGAAUAACAUAGAAAAUUUUGUUCAAGAAAUAUACAUGUUAGAAAAUAGCUACUUCAAAUAACCUGUUAUAUCAGUGACACAAAAUGAUGUACAUUAGAAGUUUCACAAGUGCUUAUGAUGAAAGAAUUUCGAUCCUAAAUUGAUAACAAGGUUUGACAUGUAAUUGAAUUCAGUAUAUUUAUGUGUGUGUGUGUGUGUAAUAUAUUUAUAUUGUAUUUGGUAUGUUGUUAUUAAAAUGUCAGAGCCAUUACUCAAGUUUCAUAAAAGCAAUAAUAGUCUACUUUUAGUUAUUCCUUAGUUUCCUCAGUCUUCUCAUAGAAUGUGUUAUGUUCCAAACUAUCUAAUAGGUUUUGAAUUCCUUUACUACUGCUGUUGUACUUCUGUUUCUAUCCUAGCAGUGUCUACCAUAUUUUUGGCUGAGUACAUCAUAUUUAAGUGUAACAGGUUUGGAUAUGGUUUAAAGUGAUCUGAAACCUUUCCAUUUCAGUAAUAUUCAUAAACCAGGCAUACAAUCUGCAAAUAUCUGAGAUCCUUCUACCUCUUGUUACUAUGUACAACUGCAUGUUGUUACAAGUAUGUACAAAAAAACAGUGACUAUUUGAAAAGUUUGUACUAUGUACAACUGCAUGUUGUUACAAGUAUGUACAAAAAACCAGUGACUGUUUGAACUAUAUUAAUUUUUUUCUAUUGUAUUAGACAAUGAAAAAUAUACAACACAGUUAUGACAUUUGGAAGUGAAGGAUGUUUUUAUCUUACAAACUAACGUUGGUUAAAAACCUUAACUAGUCUUCUAACACUCAACUGUGACUAUGCUGGCUUGUUAAUGUUUAUUAAAAAAUUAGAAAUCGGUGAAGAUUAAAUGUUAAUAAAACAACAAACUGAAAAGAUUGAAGUAAUCAAAAAAAAAAUUGGAAAAGUUUAUGGUUUAGUGAUUCUGCCAAAAGUUUUGUCUCUUAAGUUUCAGUACUAUAUUCAAAUUUUAGCUGCUGAAAAAGACAUUCUUUCAUCAUGUUCUUAAGAUUUUAUUUAAACACUGUCAUUAUCAACAUAGAACCGAAGUUUUGGAUUUUGCACAUAAAAUGUAAUUAUAAAGCAGUCUUGUUGCAUGAAAUAAAGCUAAAUUUGUACAUUAUGUUAAUUAACCUUCUAGAAUGUCUUAAUUUUAGUAACUUUGUUUUUACAUAAGAUCAUUCUACAAUAGAUCUGUGCACUGUUUUCCCCCAAGACUAAAUUUGAUGGUUUAUAUAUGUUAUUUUUUUCAAUGUUUAGAGAAAUGCAGAAACCCUACAUGCCUAUAUUGUAAUGUCUGCGUUUAUCACAUGAAAUCAUUGUUAAUCCUGUGUUUUAUUAAAGCUACUCUUUAACAUUCUGCUGGUUCCUGCAAGACCACAUUUGUUACAUGUUUAGUAAACCUGGCUUUCCAAAUAAAAGCAUUUUGAAGUGAAGAAGUGUUCAGAUGAGGCAUAUAAUAAACUGGAAACUGAGUACGGAACAGAAAGGAGAAGAAGAUGAUGCACUAAAGUUGGCCAUGUCCUUCUUCGUAUGUCUGGAAGAUGCAGACAAGGAGCCAGCUGAUCCUACUUAUCAUUUGUGUUAAGAUUAGGAUUAAACUUUGCAUUUUUAUGGGAAAUACUAUUUUUAUAUACUGUUCCUCAACUUACCAAAAUUAAAAAAUUUCAAGAACAUUGCUAAAAAAGUUCAUCAUUUUAAAAAAAUUUUCAGAAAACUGUAUCUAGAUGUUAUGUGUGUGUCUUUGUAGUAUGCAUUGAGAUUAUGCAUUUAAAUCAUUUAAUAGCAAUAGGUUGACUUGUAUUAUUUUUUAAUUUGCAUUCUAUCUACCCAUUUUACUUAAACUGGUGAGAAGAUAUGAAAGUCAAUACAAAUUAAAAUUAAUCAUCUUACAUUUCUGUGGAAUUUCGGGAAUUUUAACUUCAGAAAUGUGUGUUGAAUCACAAAAAUUAUUCAAUUAAGUUAAUUACUUGGUAAUUAUGUACGUUAGCUAGGAAUUGUUUAUUUAUGUUUGAUCUGUACAUAAAUUUGAUGGAUGUUGUAAUGUAUAGUGGGACUAAAACUGUGAAUGAAAAGAAAUUCUGCAGUAGGAAUAUGUUGUUUUGAUACAAUAAAAUUCUCUGCUUAACUGCACGCUUUCAGUUGAGUGUUGUUUGCAUUCAUACAAGUUGUAUUUUCUUAUAUCAAAUAUUAUGUUGACAGAUAUUGCACUGUCAAUAUUGUUAUGUAAUAUGAUAAUAUAUCUAAAGCAGCAAUAUAUCUUCCUUUGAUGAAGGAAUGUAUUUGUUUCAA